CAUGGCGGGAAAACUCGAAAUAUUAGUCUCUAUUUGCAGUAUUGGCUCUGUGCACGAUUACAGCGCCAACUAGCGUCCACAACUUUGUGUGCUCUGUCACAUUGACAUUUAGGUCGUAUAUUUGUGAAAAAAUAUCGAAAUGAAAAAAUAACAAAUAUUUUCAACUAAUAAAUUGUUGUGAUACCACGAUUUGGGUGGAAAAAAGGUUUUGAAAUAAUUUUGGUCAUUCAAAUCAAAUGAGAUCGAAAUGAGUAUUGUUUUGAAGACCGGGUUUGUGAGUUUUACAAUAUCAAAUUCCAACCACAAACCGUAUUUAAAAAGGAAAGUUGUUGGUAUUGGCUGGACAAGUCCGAGAUGUAGAAGAAUUAAGAACAAAACAAGGGCAAAGUUCAAUAAUUCACGCUCUCAUCAUAAGGCAAACAUCUGUGCACAACAACUACAGUGACUCAUUUUUGUACUACCACGUUGUAUAGUCUAGUUAUUUCCAAAUUGUAAACGGCUAUUAAACCAGCCCUAUCGAAAAACA